rnacentral:rRNA from 1 species
AGUGAACGCUGGCGGUAGGCCUAACACAUGCAAGUCGAACGGCAGCACAGUAAGAGCUUGCUCUUACGGGUGGCGAGUGGCGGACGGGUGAGGAAUACAUCGGAAUCUACUUUUUCGUGGGGGAUAACGUAGGGAAACUUACGCUAAUACCGCAUACGACCUACGGGUGAAAGCAGGGGAUCUUCGGACCUUGCGCGAUUGAAUGAGCCGAUGUCGGAUUAGCUAGUUGGCGGGGUAAAGGCCCACCAAGGCGACGAUCCGUAGCUGGUCUGAGAGGAUGAUCAGCCACACUGGAACUGAGACACGGUCCAGACUCCUACGGGAAGCAGCAGUGGGGAAUAUUGGACAAUGGGCGCAAGCCUGAUCCAGCCAUACCGCGUGGGUGAAGAAGGCCUUCGGGUUGUAAAGCCCUUUUGUUGGGAAAGAAAAGCAGAAGGUUAAUACCCCGCUGUUCUGACGGUACCCAAAGAAUAAGCACCGGAUAACUUCGUG